UACGUAGGGUGCGAGCGUUAAUCGGAAUUAUUGGGCGUAAAGCGCACGUAGGCGGCUGGGUAAGUCUCACUGUGAAAGCCCGGGGCUCAACCCCGGGAGGCCAGGGGAUACUGCUCGGCUAGAGACAGGCAGAGGCUGGUGGAAUUCCGGGUGUAGCGGUGGAAUGCGUAGAGAUCCGGAGGAACACCUGAGGCGAAGGCGGCCAGCUGGGCCUGAUCUGACGCUGAGGUGCGAAAGCGUGGGGAGCGAACAGG
rnacentral:rRNA from 1 species